rnacentral:rRNA from 1 species
GAAGGGAGCUAGCGUUGUUCGGAAUCACUGGGCGUAAAGCGCACGUAGGCGGAUUUGUUAGUCAGGGGUGAAAUCCCGGGGCUCAACCUCGGAACUGCCUUUGAUACUGCAAGUCUGGAGUCCGGAAGAGGUGGGUGGAAUUCCUAGUGUAGAGGUGAAAUUCUUAGAUAUUAGGAAGAACACCGGUGGCGAAGGCGGCCCACUGGUCCGGUACUGACGCUGAGGCGCGAAAGCGUGGGGAGCAAACAGGAUUAGAUACCCUGGUAGUCCACGCCGUAAACGAUGGAUGCUAGCCCGUCGGCAAGCUUGCUUGUCGGUGGCGCAGCUAACGCAUUAAGCAUCCCGCCUGGGGAUACGGCCGCAAGGUUA